rnacentral:rRNA from 1 species
GACAGAGGGUGCAAACGUUGUUCGGAAUUACUGGGCGUAAAGCGCGUGUAGGCGGCUUUGCAAGUCGGGCGUGAAAUCCCAUGGCUCAACCAUGGAAGUGCACUCGAAACUGCAGAACUAGAGUCCUGGAGAGGAAGGCGGAAUGCUUGGUGUAGAGGUGAAAUUCGUAGAUAUCAAGCAGAACACCGGUGGCGAAGGCGGCCUUCUGGACAGUGACUGACGCUGAGACGCGAAAGCGUGGGGAGCAAACAGGAUUAGAAACCCCUGUAGUCC